UUUAAUGUGGCAGAUUAGUGUAAUGAAUUUAAGCUUCAUAUAUGAAUAAAAAUCCUUUAAAA
rnacentral:tRNA from 1 species